rnacentral:tRNA from 1 species
GGGUCUUUAGCUCAGCUGGUAGAGCAGCGGACUUUUAAUCCGUUGGUCGCGGGUUCGAAUCCCGCAGGACCCA